ACGGGAGGCAGCAGUGAGGAAUAUUGGUCAAUGGGCGGAAGCCUGAACCAGCCAAGUCGCGUGAAGGAUGAAGGUAUUAUGUAUUGUAAACUUCUUUAGACGCAGAGAAAUAAGCUCCACGCGUGGAGUGAUGCUAGUAUGCGUAGAAUAAGGAUCGGCUAACUCCGUGCCAGCAGCCGCGGUAAUACGGAGGAUCCGAGCGUUAUCCGGAUUUAUUGGGUUUAAAGGGUGCGCAGGCGGUCUUUUAAGUCAGUGGUUAAAUCGUGAGGCUCAACCUCAUCACGCCAUUGAUACUGGAGGACUUGAUUGCGGUUGAGGUAGGCGGAAUUCGUCGUGUAGCGGUGAAAUGCAUAGAUAUGACGAAGAACACCGAUUGCGUAGGCAGCUUACCAAGCCGUAAAUGACGCUCAUGCACGAAAGUGCGGGGAUCGAACAGGAUUAGAUACCCUGGUA
rnacentral:rRNA from 1 species